GACAGACUAAAGCCAGUCUCCAGUAGGGAUGACAGUCUUGCUCACCUUCUCGCCUGCCCAAUUCUGCUCCCCUUACUCUUCUCCUAAAAGCACUCCUGACGAAAAUCGCCUCAGCAUGAAUCUUGGUCACAGGUUCUGCUUCUAGGAAACCUGACCUGAGACCGGGUUUCAAAGUGAGACAAUUCUGGGUUUGCGUCUGGACUUCCCCGACUGUUAACUAUGUGACUUCAGGGACUCACCGUGUAUCUAACACCAGGCUACCUCACCAAUAACUAGAAGUGAGAAGUAUUGGUUCAAGUGGUAAAGUACUUGGCAAAAUGUGGAGUGCGGGCAUAAAGCAUAACGGGCACUAACCAUACAACAGAAGGUGGAGAUAUUGGGAAAGAAGUGUCUGGGAGUUCAGAGGCUGGGA
rnacentral:lncRNA from 1 species